rnacentral:rRNA from 1 species
AGCUCGACACCUACGGAGGCAGCAGUGGGGAAUAUUGCACAAUGGGGGAAACCCUGAUGCAGCAACGCCGCGUGAAGGAAGACGGUUUUCGGAUUGUAAACUUCUGUUCUUAGUGAAGAUAGUGACGGUAGCUAAGGAGCAAGCCACGGCUAACUACGUGUCAGCAGCCGCGGUAAUCUGAGCGGGCUGGCAAGGC